rnacentral:rRNA from 1 species
UGGGGAAUAUUGGACAAUGGGCGAAAGCCUGAUCCAGCCAUGCCGCGUGUGUGAAGAAGGUCUUCGGAUUGUAAAGCACUUUAAGUUGGGAGGAAGGGCAGUUACCUAAUACGUGAUUGUUUUGACGUUACCGACAGAAUAAGCACCGGCUAACUCUGUGCCAGCAGCCGCGGUAAUACAGAGGGUGCAAGCGUUAAUCGGAAUUACUGGGCGUAAAGCGCGCGUAGGUUGUUUGUUAAGUUGGAUGUGAAAUCCCCGGGCUCAACCUGGGAACUGCAUUCAAAACUGACUGACUAGAGUAUGGUAGAGGGUGGUGGAAUUUCCUGUGUAGCGGUGAAAUGCGUAGAUAUAGGAAGGAACACCAGUGGCGAAGGCGACCACCUGGACUAAUACUGACACUGAGGUGCGAAAGCGUGGGGAGCAAACA